CAGCAGACACCACAACCACCGAACCGGAGAAGCAUAUGAAUCCUCUCAAGCAUAUGAAUGCUGUAGACAGUUGAAUAGGAACCAUACGAAUAGGUUUACUCUCCUAGCAGUCAAACUGGAACAGCAUACAAUAAAUCCUUCCCCCAAUAAAGAGACAACACUUCACUUUGAGGGUUAAAACAGGAACUCCCUGUACUGUCACAUACAGUCUCUUUUAUUCCCAAUCCACAAACAUAGUACAGCCCACAGGGCGUUACAAAACAACCAAUCAAUC